AAUUGGAGGGCAAGUCUGGUGCCAGCAGCCGCGGUAAUUCCAGCUCCAAUAGCGUAUAUUAAAGUUGUUGCAGUUAAAAAGCUCGUAGUUGAAUUUCGGGAUUGACACAUCGGUCGUGCCUUAAGGGGUAUGAACUGGUGUAGUCAAUUUCUCACCUUCUGGAGAACCGCGAUGCCCUUAAUUGGGUGUCACGGGGAACCAGGACCUUUACUUUGAAAAAAUUAGAGUGUUUAAAGCAGGCAUUUUGCUUGAAUACAUUAGCAUGGAAUAAUAAAAUAGGACGGCAUGAUUCUAUUUUGUUGGUUUCUAGGAUCACCGUAAUGAUUAAUAGGGAUAGUUGGGGGCAUUAGUAUUCAAUUGUCAGAGGUGAAAUUCUUGGAUUUAUUGAAGACUAACUACUGCGAAAGCAUUUGCCAAGGAUGUUUUCAUUAAUCAAGAACGAAAGUUAGGGGAUCGAAGACGAUCAGAUACCGUCGUAGUCUUAACCAUAAACUAUGCCGACUAGGGAUCAGACGAUGUUAAUUUUUUAAUGACUCGUUUGGCACCUUACGGGAAACCAAAGUGU
rnacentral:rRNA from 1 species